rnacentral:RNase_P_RNA from 1 species
GGAGUGGGCGAAGGCGAUCGCUCGGACGGCGAUGCCGCCCGGGAGGAAAGUCCGAACUGGACAGGGUACGGUGGUUGGUAACGCCAACCCGGCGCGAGCCGAGGGAAAGUGCCACAGAAAAGAUACCGCGAAUCUAGAGACUAGAAACUAGAGACUGGAGAUUAGAGCGAAUGCGGAAUCGCCCGCAGCACCUAGUUUCUAGUUUCCAGUUUCUAGUCUCUAGACGCAAGGGUGAAAUGGUGCGGUAAGAGCGCACCGCGCGGGUGGCGACAUCCGCGGCAGGGCAAACCCCACCGCCAGCAAGCCCAAGUAAGCAGCGAGAGGCGGCCCGCCUCGCCAAACGCCGGCGUCGAACGUCAAUUCGUCAUUUUGACGUUUUGACUUUUCGACGUUUAGACGUUUCCAAGCUGCGGGUAGGGUGCUCGAGCCGGCGGGCGACCGUCGGCCCAGACAAAUGAUCGCCCACGCGAGGGGUUGCGGAUCGCGAAUCGGUUUUGGCGGUGCGAGGCGUUCGCCUCUUCCGAUUCGGCGCUCGGCAGUCCCUUGCCGGACAGAAUUCGGCUUACCCGCCCACUCCACCG